GGCGGCAGGCCUAACACAUGCAAGUCGGGCGGUAACAGGGAGUGCUUGCACUUCGCUGACGAGCGGCGGACGGGUGAGUAAUGCAUAGGAAUCUGCCUGGUAGUGGGGGAUAGCCCAGAGAAAUUUGGAUUAAUACCGCAUACGCCCUACGGGGAAAGCAGGGGGGAUCUUCGGACCUUGCGCUAUCAGAUGAGCCUAUGUCGGAUUAGCUUGUUGGUGAGGUAACGGCUCACCAAGGCGACGAUCCGUAGCUGGUCUGAGAGGAUGAUCAGCCACACUGGGACUGAGACACGGCCCAGACUCCUACGGGAGGCAGCAGUGGGGAAUAUUGGACAAUGGGCGCAAGCCUGAUCCAGCCAUGCCGCGUGUGUGAAGAAGGCCUUCGGGUUGUAAAGCACUUUCAGCGAGGAGGAAAGGAUGGUUGCUAAUAUCAGCCGUCUGCGACGUUACUCGCAGAAGAAGCACCGGCUAACUCCGUG
rnacentral:rRNA from 1 species